AAAUCCGUUGUUGUUUAUGAAAAUUUACAACUUUGCAAUACAACUUUAUGAGUUGUUCGGUUUUUCCAUUGGUCGUUGUCGGUCAUGUGGAUGGUAACCGUGAACAUGAACUUUUUUAUAAUUUCCCUUGCGAGAAUAGAGCCGCAUUCUUUUGCUGAGCUCUGUCCUGCUUCGGAUCUCUCUGGCUUUCAAUCCCCAUUUCAUUUGCUCUUUGUAAGGCAAUAGUGAACAAAGUGUGCGGAGGUUCGGCAUAAGCAGCCGCCUAGAACACAGAUCCGGGAUGGCAAUUUCCAGUUCCCCCGCUGGAAGGUGUGGCAUAUUGGAUUCAAAGCACUGGCGUGGCAGAUUUUCAACUUGCAACCUGGCUAAUUUCCUGCUUCUUCUGGCACCAAAAGGAGGGCGAUUCGUCUCCUGUGCAGCCAAAGCGACAGCUGUCAAAGUCGCAGGGGCUCCUGUGAGCCAGAACCUAAAAGGCUACGUGUGCCUCCUGGCCAUUCACAUUGUCACUUUUAGGUACAGAAGUAUCCAAACCACAAGUUCUCAAUACUGUGUGAAAAAAUGGCUCCCUGCAAGUCGAGGUAAGUUUUGUGCACAAGUUCCUUAAAGUUUGUCUUUAAGUGCCGGGGGAGCCGAGGCUCCCGCUCGCUCUUUCUCUUCCCCCCUUCCCCUCUCCCUGUGCCGAGCCGCGGGGCUGUUCCCCUCGCCCGGGGCAGCGCACUCAGCCCCAGGUUGCGCGCAGUGCUGAGCAGUGUCCCAGCCCCGCUCCCGCGGCUUCCAGCGCUCUAUUUUAGCGAUCAAAUCAAAGUAAACCACAAUAAGCGACUUUGGCAGAGAUGGAUUUUGGGGCCUAGCUUUAAUCACUUGGACUACCGCAAAAGAUAAUUACUUCCUUCGCUCCAAUAGACUCUCCAAGUUUGGAGAGGUUUUGUUUAGUGAGGAGUAGUUACUGCGGGCGAUUGAAAAAAAAGGAAAACAAAGUAGAUAGGGUUUGAUAUGAUCUGGGCAGUGCCUUCAGUAGGCAUGAUAGGGGUGGAGGCGUGAUGAUAUGGUAAUCAUCUUCGCAUUGGCGAAAUGUGUUGCACAUCAGAGCAAGUAUUAAAAUGGCACGGAACGCGCUGGAGUGCUUAAGAUUCCUCUUUUCUGCACUGGGUCGUGUGGGAAGCUUUAGUUAUGUAGCUAAGCCCAUCCGCGAGCGUGUGCGGCGCUUCGGGUGUGUGCAUUUAUGACUUCUUUUGUGUUUUUUUCUUACCAGUUCCUAUAUGUAAAUAUAAGACUAUAAAUGCUUUCGAGUGAUGCGCGUGUGUGCAUGCAUGUACCUAUCUGUGUGUACGCCUGUGUAAAUCCGAGCACAUGCCUCCAUUCAUGCUCUAUUGGUGUCUUUAUGUGUACAAAGGGUGUGUAUGUGUGUACACAUCUAUACGUUCCAGAGAGUGCUUUUUUUUUCCUCUCUUUUUUUUUUUUUUUUAAGCGAACCAAUUGACUGUAACUCGUAGCAUUAAUACAAGAGACCACAGGUCAUUAGAGUACUUCAAAUUAUGAAAUACGGGCUCGGCUUAUUGAAGAUUGUAAAUAUCCCCAAUGCUCUGCUCUCUCCCUCUCUGCCUUAUAUUGCUGGCUGCCAUUGUGGGGUAGGCCCCAGCUGCGUGUUUACUUCCACAUUCUUUUUAUUUAAGUGGACUGUUCUCACUAGAGUGUGAUUACUCAGCAAUAAACUUUAUGGCCGGAUUUAACUUCAGUCUUUGAAUUUCCAGGACUUGAAUGAAAGGGUGAAAGGAGCUCUGUCUCUCUUUGGUAGCUGCAAGGCCUGAUCCUUACCCCUCAGAGCGAGUGAUCUCGGGGGUGUGACGGACCGGUGGGGGCCGGGGAGGAGAUCUGAGAACGAGCUCCAAAAUGCGUCUGUACCCAACCUCGCUGUGAGAACCUCGUUCUCCACUCGGGUUUGGAGUAGAAGGGAUUCAACGCAAUCCCCUCUGCAGAUUGCAUUGUUUUCCUUGAUGUGUCAUAAACUCGAGUUUCAAGAAGAACGGGCCGGCGUGAUAGGAGAUGGGAGCCGGGCUUUGUUUGAUGUUGCCCCUGCUAUCCCAUGGCCCGAGCGGUGAGGUGAGGGUUCUAUGUGGCACUGAGAGCGGAAGGAGAGGCUGGGCUGCGGGUGUGGCAGGUCGCCGUGGACCUCUACAGGGUCUGCCCGAGGUCCACCACCAGCAUUGCUGGCUGAUCUCUUUUGAUUUCCCAUCCAUUUGCCUUAAACGUUUAAAAUACGCUCGCAUCAUCUAAGGCUGGCUCAGUUAAAGUUUUCACCGUAUUUACAAAUAUUUAAUAUUUGGAGUCAACCCCCAGUGUAAGAUAAAUGAAGUCCCAAGCCUUUGUGUCUGCGGAUCGCUCUGUGAGCACUAAACAAACACAUCUGCAUAUACUUUGUAUUACAAAUAAAUAAAUAAAUAAAUGGGAAAGGCUUUAAAAGCACAGCUCCAAAUACACAUUCGAAAAUCAUUUCCGUCAUAAACAGCUGGGGAUUUUAUAGCUCGCUAGCUGUCAGCUUCAUCAAGAGGAAUACCAGAAAGUUUUAUAUGAUAGGCGUGCACUAGAUUAUAUUAUAUGCCAUAAAAAUUUUAUAGUAGGAGGCAAAGGCAUGCAAAUGCUUUAAAAGUUUGGGCUCCUUUCAUAUGCGGGUCCUUUUCCGCAGGAGAAAACCUUUUCUUGUUAUAGGGAACCACACCGGGCGCAAACCGUUCCCGAUUACUCAAUACACAACAACACCGUGUUGCUUCAAGUGCCUGGUAAAUACACAAACACGUCCAAGCACACACCCGCUCAACUCAUGCUUUAGGAACCUGGAUGCCAUCUCGGGUUGUAAUGGUCUGCAGCGAAAAGCUUCGCUCCUAUUAUUUUCACGUUUUUGAAUGGGGUUUCUAGAGCGUACACUCGCAACGCUGUGGACAGAAAUUCAAGCGCUAUGGGAAAGGAUAACAUCACAAAAGCCCAUAAGCGUCUAAACCCGCCCGCACCGCAAGGAACUCUCUAACAACAAGAGAAACUUCGCUGGAAAUGACAACUUCUCAGCAGAUUCGGCCCUCCCCCGUCCGAAGCAGAAGAGCUGAAGUCGCUGCAAACCGGGGGCGCAUUCAGAUUUUGCAAUCCGCUUUUAAAAAUCGGAACUCAAACGACUCCAGACCGCCGAACAGUACAGAAAUAUUCCCGGAUCUUAAUUGUUUUCCGAGUGAAAAACGUCACGGAGAAUAAUCGCCUGGAAUCGAGAGAGAGCUCUUAUCUGAGCAGCCUUUAUUUAUUUAAUUUUUUUUCCCCCUUGGUGCUGUGUUUUGGGGAUUAAUGCGUGCGAGUUUGUUUUACUUUAGGCACAGCAAGUGGCGUUCAGAGCAUUGAAAUGCAGUUUACUUAAUCCUUUGAAAGAAAUACUUGAGUGUAGUGUGUCAUGUCUAAGCGUAGGGCCAAUUAAAGAUUAGGCAACUCUCUUAAUGUGUGUAGCCAGUGACUUUGGAAGCCAUAACUUUCUCUAAACCAGAAGUGUAACAAUUCGCUUGAAAGUCAUCCGUAAAUUACAGCUCUGCUGCACUUUCCAAGCCUUGCGAACGCCCUAAUUGCAGAACAUUACAGGGAAAUUUUGAUUCUGCCAUUUCCUUACAGUUAAUAAGUGUGUAUCUGUGGAAGGGUGACAAAAGAAGGGUUUGCAAUCUGCUCCAUGGGAAAUUGAAUGGAACAGAUCGUGAGGGGCGGAUCGGGAGGUUUCGAUUUCAAACCCUGGAUACUGGAGCAAUGCCUUUUCCCUCCCCGCAAAUACAGAUUUAACGCAUUAGCUGCACACAUAAGCAAAUCCCCUCACCAAGUUAAGCCAUCGCUUCGCUUCCUCACCUACUUUCCCUUCUACCCCCCAAAAUAUCCCCGAUUUAUUAUUAGAGUCGCUACCCACAGCACAAAAGGACGCAGCUCCCACUGCCGCCUGACCAUCUUCGAAAAUAUUAUCCCUUUUAAAUUAAAGCAUCCUGGCUAAUGUCUCUCUGGAAGGCGAAUACUCAUGGACCGACUCAGUCACAUGCUCGUGGGGCUGCACGCACAAACGACAUCGAAUCUGACUCCGAGAGAGUGUAAAAUUCGCGAGGAUUUCGCUUUAUGGCACGCGUAAGGAAUCUUUCCUACAACCCCCCCAAAAAUGGCUUUUCAAUAAUAAUAUUUGCUAUGAAGGUUAUUGGGUAAUUAUUGCAAUUUUGUGGAACAGUCCUUGCUUGAGGUGAAGUCUGUCUCCGGAUAACAAAUGGCAGCCCGUGCAGUUCACUGCCAGGUUAAGUAAAUGCAGAAAAGAUAAAUCUGCACACCCUAGGAAUCACCAGCAGAGCUCGCUUUAGACCAAGUUCACAGUCAACUCGUUUGCCUAGACAAGGCUUCGCAAACAAUUAGACUUGUUUCUUUAUGCUUAAAUCAAGGAGAAAUGACUAAGACCCUCGCAGCAGAGAGCUGCAGCUUUUCCCCCAACGCCGGUCCUACGUCCUUCCAACCUCACGCCCAGAACUUACCCAGCAUUUCACCUGCAAUUGUAACCAAAUAGCGCCUUUGAGUACAGGCUUCCCUCCAACGUUGCCGAAAGGCUGUGCAAACUGAUUUAACAGCACUUUACAAAGCUGCCAGAUUAAAGAAGAAGAAGAAGGAGGAGGACAAAAAAAAAAAAAAGGCAAUAAUUAAAAAUGCAAAAGUAUCCGAUUCCUCAACAGCGAGAAGAAGGGGGGAAAAAAAACUAAAAACAACAAAAAAAAAAAGCCCUUAGAAAGCUGGGGGGAAACGGCAGAACUAUUGAAACAAACACUGCGAGUCUCUUACUCCUAAAAGAAGCUGCAUAGCUUUUGUAUAUCUUUGUGGUUAAGGGCGUUACAACUGCAGGUCAAAAAGUUGAGGGUCAAAAGUUUACGUUUUGCACCACUCUUAGUCAUUCGUCCAGACAGAGUUUGAUGUCAAUGUUAUAGCCGAGAUCUUGACUAUCAGCACAAAAGAUAAAAUAGCUUUGAGUUACGUGUGUAUCACAGUAUGGACUCCAGGUGAACCCUACUGGCUGAAUGACCUCAAUUACCGAGGAAAGGAUAGAAAAUUCCUCUUUUCAAGAGUAAUACACGUUGUAUUUCAUCUUGAAUUAUCGGCCACAUUUGUGUCUGAAUAUCUCGGGCUCAGCGCGGCAGGUAAACACGCGUGUUCCCCCACCCCAGAACUGCCGCUGCUUCCCGUGGCCGGGGAGCGAAACGUUUCCCCUUGUUUAUUAUAUCAUAACCCGCUUUAAGAGGUUUAACGUUAAGCCUCCUCACUUUGCCAAACGGCAGGAAGAUAAGAUAGGAGCGGGGCAAUUAACGCGCGUAUCGAUCCCGGCCUCGGCUUUGUUUUUGGCUCUCGUUUCUAUAGAGCCCACUGAAACGCUCUUAACUGGGGCAGGACGCGGCCGUGUCGGUGCGGGAGGGCUGUGAGUUCGGAACGUUCCGGCCAGAGGAGAGCGGUGACGGCGCAGGGCUGCGGGGCCGCCUUUUUGCUACCGCUGGAUUAUGGUGUUGGCUGCCAGAGCGAUUUGGAUGGAGCUCCGAGCCUUCUGGAAUUACCCGUCGUUUCCCAGAGGGAUGGGGAGAGGAGAGGGUUGGUUUGUCUCCUCUCCUCAGCUAAAAAAAAAAAAGAAAAAANAAAAAAAAAAAAAAAAAAAAAAAAAAAAAAAAAAAAAAAAAAAAAAAAAAAGAGGGGGGUAAAAAAAAUAGAGUUUGGUGGAAUUUGGGGGGAAUUUCUUUGCGCAGAGUUAUUUCCACGUUGCUGGCGUUUUGUUUUGUUCCCAGCUCUCGCCUCGGUGUCGAAGCCUUAGCUAAAGCCCUCGGCCAGGCGUGUCUUGUGGGGGGAAGCGGCCGGAAUCUCAUUUGGGGAGAGGGGGAGAGGAGACCACUGCAAAUGGCAGGUUGCAACGAUAGGGAUGAGGGGUGGCUGGGAAAGGGAAAGGGCAUUCCGAAGUAUCCGCUAGCAGCUGUGAAAGGUAUGGAGGAGGGGACAGUGCCACGAGGAAGGAAGUCAGAGAAACAGCGCACCUCACCACCAUCCGUGCAUGGCUGCCUUUCGAGCUCAAAGGAGGGAGCCUGUGUAGUCUUCCACGCACGGGUUACGCGUGAAUUAUUUGCCAGGGACACGGCUGGAACGUGGCAGCCGGGCGAUAUUUCUUGGGAACACAUGUGCGUGGUGUGAGAUUUCAGAUCAGCCCGAGUUAUUGCUGGAGGCUUUGCCCGUUGUACCUGCUGAAGCGCAGCAAGGUGUGCGAGCAUUUGCUCGGCGUGGGGACCUUGUUCCCGAGCUCCUGCUGCUGCUCUCUUGCAGCGAGCCCUGGCACUGUCCGUUUGGAGAGCCUUCCCUCACCGCAGAUAUUGUUUAACCUUUCACAUCUAGAGUAUUUAUUUGGUGUAAGAGCGAAGCCUGAUAACAAGCUAAAAGCCGUGGCCAAAUAUCUAUUUUGUUAAAGAAUAGCGGGCAGAUUGUUUCCAAGAACAACAAUGCGUCUUUGAUACACCCAGAACGAAAGCUGCUACUAUAACUGGGUUACUCAAGAGUAGGUGACGGAAAUCCAUUUGCUUCCUUACCAAAACAAUUAGCCGCUCGAAUUCCGUACUUUUUUCAGUCUAGCCCAGGAUAAAAAAAAUAUCAGUGAGAAUAUUUUCAAGGAAGUUGAAACUUCGACUUCGGGAAAUACGGAAUCUUUCCAAUUGGUGUCGAAAUUAUUCCCUUAAAAUCUAAAUACUAGGAGAAAAAUAUAUAUGUUUGAAGCGAGCUCUUUCUUCCCUUUGGCUCUUUGGCUUUCAGCACGCCGCUCUCCGGCGUGGAAGCUGUGGCCCAAAGACCAUUCAUUUAAAAUCCGGGCGCAAAUCACGUUUUACGUGUGUUUAUUUAACCACGGCAGGACAGGGCGAGCACGGCCGCCAAACACGGCGUUGCUGGGUGCAGAGCCGCUGCCGGGGGAGUCCCCGCUUCUACACAACGCUGAACUUGGGGGCCUACAACGAGCGCGUCCCCCCAGUAGCGCCCGCUCGGAGCGAGCUGCGCCCCCGCGGAAGGCGGUGGCUGCCCCGGGGCUCUUCGAUUCUAGGGAACAAAGGGGGGAAUACAGUCGAUACAUUCCAUAACGUUUACAUUUUCCCGCGAUUUUUUGCUUAAUUUUCCCUUAGAAGUGGUGACCUGGGCAAAGCACCCCGCUAUCUAAAAGGCACUCUUAUAGACCUUUUAGAAAAACUAAGUCCAAGGCCGAGGUGAACUUCAGGUCACCGCGUCUAACAAAUAUGAAAAUGUCGCCUGGUGAAGGGCACGCCUUGUUAUUUAACAAAGACUGUCAAUGUGUAAGAUUAAUAAGAAACAAAAUGCACACGGUGUCACUUUUCGGUCACUUUGAAACUCGGGACAGCCUCGCAUUCAAGAGGGGAAAGCUGAGGCUAAAUAUAUUCAAAAUGGUUCAAAUCAAAUUCAACCCAGGCUGCGGGUGCGAUCUUUCCUCCUCCUGCCCCUCUCUGUGGUGGGUGCCCGGGCACGGCGAAAGGUUGUCUUCUAUUCUUAUUAUCAUUGUUGUUGUUAUUAUUUUUACUCUCCUCCUUCUUCCCUUUUCUAAUCCUUACGGUUUAGCCGAUGGCGCGGAGGGGAAAGCGGUGUUUGCAUGCUUCUCAAGGAAAAGGGGGACCCCCUCACCCCCUCUUUGCGUAUGCAUGAAGCUGCUCGCCUUGGUGCACGGCAAUUAACUCUCUCACUCUCAACUUAAUUCCAGUGCAGUCCCCAUCUCCUCCUCGGCCGGGAGCCCCCGGCUCCACCACUGCUGAUUAAAGGCUCCUUCAGCAGCUGACAGAGCCCCCAGCCCCUCUGUAAAAAUAAGGGACCCGGCCUAUUUUUUCUCUCCUUUUCUUUCUUUGGGAGGUUGGGGUGAUGCUACAAGUUUGCAAAGGGAAGUACCGGGGAGGAAGGAAAAAAAAAAAAAAAAAGAAAGAAAGAAAAAAAAAAGGGUUUCAGAGAUUGUUUAUUACAGCCAUAAAUCUUGCAGUAAAAUGUCGAAAUGGCCGUGUGCAAGAUAACACUUGGUGGUCUUGGCUGGGUUCUUGUUUAUGAUAACAAAACCACAAAGACAUGGAACAGGCCUUUUGGAGGUCCUGCUUCAGCACAUCUCCUCAGCUUGAUAGAACCCCGCAGAAACAAGCUGAGCCCGGCAUCUCGGGUCACCUUGCAGAUUUACGGUCGCAUACAGCACCGCAUCCUUCUCCGUCCAACCCAGCGCCAGAGCCACACGGUAGAGAGGUGCGGCGAAACGAGUGUUCUCCUAGAUCUAAUCGCGGUAAAUAAUAGGAAGCAGAACACGCUCAGCUCGCCGGCACAGAGCCUACAAAUCGGGACAGCGGUUUUCGUUGUGUUUUCUCGUGCCUCGGAAGCACGGAACCUACUGUUCCGAGCUAGCCAUAAAGCCUCCGGACUUGCCUUAUGCCGAGGAUAACAUGUCCGGUACCACAGGGCAAUGCAUCUGGUGGCGGCCAGCAGUGUGCUGCUGAGUCUGUGUGCGUGUGUGUAACCGCAUUUCCUCUCCACGCAGAGUAAAUAGAGGAACUUAUCUAUUACACCACUUAAAGAGUUCCAUAGAUGUUCUGUUGGAAAUGAGUAAGUAAAUGUGUUUUAACUCUCUUUACAAAUUAGCCAUUCGAUAUGAGCAGGAAAUGAGUGAUUGUUUAGAUAAGUAGCCCAGUAUGCCCAAGUGUUGGAAGUGUUCGAACAUCUUACGAACCGCCCGCAGUGUGCGUGUGUCCGUGUGUGUCAAAUACAGAUCGAUACUCCGUGCGCCUACUUAGGUAGAAUAGAUCUCGAAAUGGAAUUUCAUUACACGUACCCAUUAUCUAUAAAACGGCUUAGGACAAGAAUCUGAAUUUUAAGCAGAGUAACUGUUAAUGUCGUAUCUUUAGGAGGGCCAGAUCAAAACCGCGUCGUGCUUGUCCCUGAUAUAUUGGAUGUAUUUUCCCACACCGGAGGGUGAGAUUACCCAAUCCGCAAUUAUAUUCUCAAACGAUGCGGUAAAUAUGUAUGUGGGUAUAUACGCCCUCCUGUAAAGGAAAGAAAAAAAAAAAAAUCGGAAAAGUUCGCUUCUAACUUCCGAUCUACAAGAGUAGAUGGCGUUCGAUUGUAUUUUUUUCCCCUUAGAAUAAGAGCGUAAUUAGUUUAACCAUCAAAUUUCAAUUACCUAAGGUCAGGGCGGGUGCCUCUUUUCCCUCUGAGCUGAAAAUAUCGUUAACAGUCUCAGUUCCAGCAACGCAGCAGUGGCCGGGUGCCCUUUCCCUCCCUCGCCAGGCGUUCUGCGAAGGCGACAGAGAUUUCUCUUGGAACUGAGAAUUCAGAAAUAGAGCCAGCACCGGGCAAGCGAAGAGACAGUCUUAAAUUCGUAGCUGGAAAACGCAGCUCUGCGGGGAGGGAUGUUCGCAGCGAGCCCCGCGGCAGCCGGUAGGAAGCGUUUAUAGCACCGCGCCGCCUUCCCUCUCCUCUCCGUUAUUCCCCGGCUCCCCGUGUCCCCCGCACCCCACAAGACACGGAGAGGCUCCCCUCGGCCUUCCCGCGACGUCCGCGCUAACUUUGGGAUGUGCUCCUCCAGCAAACGGGCUGCAGGGGGACGGGAGCUGCCGGCUCUCGGUUCGGGGAGAGGUCGCUGAGAAGGGAGGGGGUGAGGAGACCUCCACCCCUCAGUCCCAAAGGGAGGCGUUGGGUGAUGGGUGCGUGGAUAGCUAUUGUGCAACGCCCCGCUCAGCGCUUGCUUCCCUCCCCGGGCUGCUCUCUGCUUCCCCUGCCUGAGUUCUGACACGAAAGGGGGGGGGAAAAAAAUAGAAAAGAAAGAAAAAAAAAAAAGAAUGACGAGGGUAAGGACUGUCAGUUCUGGAUUAGUUUUAUCUCGCUUGACACCGCGAGUGUCGGCCGCAGCCCGGGCGG